rnacentral:rRNA from 1 species
GUCAGCGGCGAUAGCAUGUUCAAUACACCAGUUCUCAAUGGAUCACCGAGGAUAAGCAACGUUGCGCGUGGUUGGUAUAUACGGAUGGGUGACCAUCUGGGCAAAUGCGCACUGCUGGCU